rnacentral:rRNA from 1 species
GCCGGCUCGCGAACGCGCGCGCGAGCAGCUCGCGCAACGCGGGCCAGCGGCCGCGCAGCGCGACGACCGCGAGCGCGCCGGGCGCGGUCCAUAUGAUCCGCCACGCGAAAAUGUCGAGGCCCGUCAGCGGCGCGAGCAGCUUCGCAUACGCGGACAGCAGCGCGAACAGCGCCGAUGCCGCGACCGACAGCGCGAUCCCGCGCGCCGCCUGCGGAUCGUCACCCGCGCCCGUCAAUGCUGCUGGAAGCGCUCGAAGCGCUUGUCGGUCCGGUGCUCCUCGAACGUCACCUCGGUCACGUGCGCGGCGGGCGGGCCGUGCCGCAGCCACGCGAGCAUCCUGUCGAUCUGCGGCGCGGAGCCUUGCAGCAUCGCCUCGACCGAGCCGUCGUCGAGGUUCGCCACCCAGCCGCGCAGCUUCAGCGCGUGCGCCUCGCGCACGGUCGCGUGCCGGAAGCCCACGCCCUGCACCACGCCGCGCACCCGCACGUAAUAGGUUUCGAUCCGCUCGUCCAGAUCGUCGCCGCUCAUCGCAUCCCCCGUGUCAUCCAGUCGCUCAAGCCCGGCAUUGUAGUCGCGCGGCGCGAACGAUGCUCGAUGCAGCCCGCGCGCCGCGCAUCCCGGGCGAGCACGUACAAUCUCGCACGACGUACAACACGCCGCGCCGCACGGCCGCGCGGCCAUGAGGACCAUGACUGACAUACAACGCGAUCUCGUUCUGGUGACCGGCGCAUCCGGUUUUGUCGGCUCCGCCGUCGCGCGCGCCGCGCGGCGGCGGGGCUAUCGGGUGCGCGUGCUCGUGCGGCUGACGAGCCCGCGCACGAACGUCGCGGAUCUCGACGCCGAGAUCGCCACCGGCGACAUGCGCGACGAGGCAUCGAUGCGCGCCGCGCUGCGCGGCGUGCGCCAUCUGCUGCACGUCGCCGCCGACUACCGGCUGUGGGCGCCCGAUCCGCUCGAGAUCGAGCGCGCGAAUCUCGAAGGCGCGGUCGCGACGAUGCGCGCGGCGCUCGCCGAGGGCGUCGAGCGGAUCGUCUACACGAGCAGCGUCGCCACGCUGAAGGUGACGCCGUCGGGCGCCUCGGCCGACGAAUCGUCGCCGCUCGCCGCCGGGCAGGCGAUCGGCGUAUACAAGCGCAGCAAGGUGCUCGCCGAGCGCGCGGUCGAGCGGAUGAUCGCCGAGGACGGGCUGCCCGCGGUGAUCGUCAAUCCGUCGACGCCGAUCGGCCCGCGCGACGUGAAGCCGACGCCGACCGGCCGGAUCAUCGUCGAGGCGGCGCUCGGCAAGAUCCCGGCGUUCGUCGACACGGGGCUGAACCUCGUGCACGUCGACGACGUCGCGCAGGGCCACCUGCUCGCGCUCGAGCGCGGGCGCGUCGGCGAGCGCUACAUCCUCGGCGGCGAGAACCUGCCGCUGCAGGCGAUG